AAAUUGAAGAGUUUGAUCAUGGCUCAGAUUGAACGCUGGCGGCAGGCCUAACACAUGCAAGUCGAACGGUAACAGGAAGCAGCUUGCUGCUUUGCUGACGAGUGGCGGNC
rnacentral:rRNA from 1 species